rnacentral:rRNA from 1 species
GACGAACGCUGGCGGCGUGCCUAAUACACGCAAGUUGAGCGCUGAAGGUUGGUACUUGUACCAACUGGAUGAGCAGCGAACGGGUGAGUAACGCGUGGGGAAUCUGCCUUUGAGCGGGGGACAACAUUUGGAAACGAAUGCUAAUACCGCAUAAAAACUUUAAACACAAGUUUUAAGUUUGAAAGAUGCAAUUGCAUCACUCAAAGAUGAUCCCGCGUUGUAUUAGCUAGUUGGUGAGGUAAAGGCUCACCAAGGCGAUGAUACAUAGCCGACCUGAGAGGGUGAUCGGCCACAUUGGGACUGAGACACGGCCCAAACUCCUACGGGAGGCAGCAGUAGGGAAUCUUCGGCAAUGGACGAAAGUCUGACCGAGCAACGCCGCGUGAGUGAAGAAGGUUUUCGGAUCGUAAAACUCGGUUGGUAGAGAAGAACGUUGGUGAGAGUGGAAAGCUCAUCAAGUGACGGUAACUACCCAGAAAGGGACGGCUAACUACGUG